rnacentral:rRNA from 1 species
UGGCGAACGGGUGAGUAAUGCGUGACCAACCUGCCCCAUGCUCCAGAAUAGCUCUUGGAAACGGGUGGUAAUGCUGGAUGCUCCAACUUGACGCAUGUCUUGUUGGGAAAGUGUUUAGUGGCAUGGGAUGGGGUCGCGUCCUAUCAGCUUGUAGGCGGGGUAAUGGCCCACCUAGGCUUCGACGGGUAGCCGGCCUGAGAGGGCGGACGGCCACAUUGGGACUGAGACACGGCCCAAACUCCUACGGGAGGCAGCAAGA